rnacentral:rRNA from 1 species
AGGGUUCGAUCAUGGCUCAGAACGUACGCUGGCGGCACGCCUAACACAUGCAAGUCGAACGAAGUAGCAAUACUUAGUGGCAGACGGGUGAGUAACAUGUAGGUAUCUGCCCUUUGGCCUGGAAUAACACGAGGAAACUUGUGCUAAUACCGGAUAAGUCUUUACGGAGAAAGCUUUAUGCACCAUUGGAUGAGCCUGCACUUGAUUAGUUUGUUGGUGGGGUAAUGGCCUACCAAGACUGUGAUCAAUAGCUGAUUUGAGAGGAUGAUCAGCCACAUUGGGACUGAGACACGGCCCAAACUCCUACGGGAGGCAGCAGUGGGGAAUCUUGCACAAUGGAGGAAACUCUGAUGCAGCGAUGCCGCGUGAGUGAAGAAGGCCCUUGGGUUGUAAAGCUCUUUCGUCGGGGAAGAAAAUGACUGUACCCGAAUAAGAAGGUCCGGCUAACUUCGUGCCAGCAGCCGCGGUAAUACGAAGGGACCUAGCGUAGUUCGGAAUUACUGGGCUUAAAGAGUUCGUAGGUGGUUGAAAAAGUUGGUGGUGAAAUCCCAGAGCUUAACUCUGGAACUGCCAUCAAAACUUUUCAGCUAGAGUAUGAUAGAGGAAAGCAGAAUUUCUAGUGUAGAGGUGAAAUUCGUAGAUAUUAGAAAGAAUACCAAUUGCGAAGGCAGCUUUCUGGAUCAUUACUGACACUGAGGAACGAAAGCAUGGGUAGCGAAGAGGAUUAGAUACCCUCGUAGUCCAUGCCGUAAACGAUGUGUGUUAGACGUUGGAAAUUUAUUUUCAGUGUCGCAGCGAAAGCGAUAAACACACCGCCUGGGGAGUACGACCGCAAGGUUAAAACUCAAAUGAAUUGACGGGGACCCGCACAAGUAGUGGAGCAUGUGGUUUAAUUCGAAGAUACGCGCAGAACCUUACCAACACUUGACAUGUUCGUCGCGACUUUAAGAGAUUAAAGUUUUCGGUUCGGCCGGACGAAACACAGGUGCUGCAUGGCUGUCGUCAGCUCGUGUCGUGAGAUGUUGGGUUAAGUCCCGCAACGAGCGCAACCCUCACUUUUAGUUGCCAUCAUUUAGUUGGGCACUCUGAAAGAACUGCCAGUGAUAAGCUGGAGGAAGGUGGGGAUGACGUCAAGUCCUCAUGGCCCUUACGUGUUGGGCUACACACGUGCUACAAUGGUAUCUACAACAGGAAGCAAGACGGCGACGUCAAGCAAAUCCUUAAAAGAUACCUCAGUUCGGAUUGCACUCUGCAACUCGAGUGCAUGAAGCUGGAAUUACUAGUAAUCGUGGAUCAGCGUGCCACGGUGAAUGCGUUCCCGGGUCUUGUACACACCGCCCGUCACACCAUGGGAGUUGGUUCUACCUUAAGGCAAGGUUUAAAACCCUUGACCACGGUAUAGUCAGCGACUGGGGUGAAGUCGUAACAAGGUAGCC